CCUACGGGUGGCAGCAAUGGGGACUAUUGCACAAUGGGGGAAACCCUGAUGCCGCGACGCCGCGUGAGUGAAGAAGUAUUUCGGUAUGUAAAGCUCUAUCAGCAGGGAAGAAAAUGAAGGUACCUGAUUAAGAAGCCCCGGCUAACUCCGUGCCAGCAGCCGCGGUAAUACGUAGGGGGCAAGCGUUAUCCGGAUUUACUGGGUGUAAAGGGGGCGUAGACGGCAGCACAAGUCUGGAGUGAAUGGCCGGGGCUUAACCCCGGAAUUGCUUUGGAAACUGUGCAGCGAGAGUGCAGGAGAGGUAAGUGGAAUGCCUAGUGGAGCGGGGAAAUGCGUAGAUAUUAGGAGGAACACCAGUGGCGAAGGCGGCUUACUGGACUGUAACUGACGUUGAGGCUCGAAAGCGUGGGGAGCAAACAGGAUUAGAUACCCGAGUAGUC
rnacentral:rRNA from 1 species